GAACCGUACGAACGUUAUUCGGAAUCACUGGGCUUAAAGGGUGCGUAGGCGGCCUGGUCAGUUGGGUGUGAAAUCCCUCGGCUCAACCGAGGAACUGCGCUCAAUACUGCCAGGCUCGAGGGAGAUAGAGGUGAGCGGAACUGAUGGUGGAGCGGUGAAAUGCGUUGAUAUCAUCAGGAACACCUGUGGCGAAGGCGGCUCACUGGGUCUCUUCUGACGCUGAGGCACGAAAGCUAGGGUAGCGAACGGGAUUAGAUACCCCGGUAGUCCUAGCUGUAAACGAUGAGCACUAGAUCGGAGACCCUUCCACAGGAUUCCGGUCGUAGCGAAAGUGUUAAGUGCUCCGCCUGGGAGUAUGGUCGCAAGGCUG
rnacentral:rRNA from 1 species